UUGCCUGUAAUUUUGCGACGCCAUUUUCCGCCAUUAUCCAACAAAGAGAGAACUGCAUUACCCUUGACGAACAAUUUUGGUUGUAUAGAAAUGGCAGACUAUGUAAAUGAACUCAAAGAUGAACUUGGACAGAUCGAACAAAUAGAAGUAAAAUUGUUGAACACGCAUCGAAUUCUAACAGAAGAAAUCAAAAGAGCAGAAGGUGGAGGAGGCAAGAAAGUUAUUCCUACUGUGGAAGCUCAUCAUAACAGACCUCAAGGUGUAGCAGUCAAAGUUAAGAUUCCACAAAAUGAAUACCCAAAAUUUAACUUUGUGGGAAAAUUAUUGGGACCAAAAGGAAUGUCACUCAAACGAUUACAAGAAGAAACAGGGACAAAAAUGUCCAUUCUUGGCAAAGGGUCAAUGCGUGAUAAAGCUAAGGAAGAUGAAUUAAAGAAAGAAGGUGGAAAGUAUGCACAUCUUAAUGAAGAGUUGCAUGUGCUUGUGGAAGUCUAUAGUGAAAUAUCAGAUGCUUAUGCCAGACUCUCUCAUGCAUUAUCAGAACUAGCCAAGUUUUUAUCACCUGAGUUCAAUGAUGAAAUUCACCAACAACAAAUGGAGGAGAUGAUGUACCUGAAUGGUGAGAAACCAGGAGCAGGUGGUGGACGUGGGAGAGGCAGAGGUGGCCCAGGGGAUAGAGGAAGAGGGGGACUACUCACAUCACCAGCAGGAAGGGGGGCACCCCCACCCAGGGGAGCACCUGCAAGAGGUACCCCUAGAGGAGCUCCAGCACCUAGAGGGGCCCCAGCAGGCCGUGGUCGACCAGCACCACCACCUCUACCUCCCCACACAGAGGUUUACGAGGAUUACAGCAAUCAGGGCUAUGAAGAUCCAUAUGCUGACCCCUAUGCGAGAGAUCCGUAUGCAGAGUCAAGUUAUGCUGCUGGAGAUACACAAUAUUUUGACUAUGGUCAUGGUUCAAGUGCACAAGGUUAUGAUGACAAUUAUGGCAAAGAUAGUGGAUGGUCAGCAGGAGGAGGUUCCUUUGGUAAAGCCCCACCUGCUCCUAGAGGGGGGCGGGGGCGUCCCCAUCCAUACGGCAAUGCACGGGGAGGCUAUUGAUGACUGGAAUUCCCACACAUGCCAACUGUUUUAUCUCGCAUAUUUCACACAUCAAUUUACUGAAGGUUGUCUCCUGCAAAGAUGUUCAAAACCACAUUGUGUUCAAAGGAACUAUACACCUUUAAAUAUCUUUUUAUACAUUUUUUAUAUGAAUUGUACAUUUUUGUAUGUAUUUUGUUUUUGUUGUGGCAAUGUAUUAUCCAAAUAAAGGUACAUUGCUUUGAAA